rnacentral:rRNA from 1 species
GAUCGCAGGCUGCAACCCGCCUGCGUGAAGUUGGAAUCGCUAGUAAUCGCGGAUCAGCAUGCCGCGGUGAAUACGUUCCCGGGCCUUGUACACACCGCCCGUCACACCAUGAGAGUCGGGAACACCCGAAGUCCGUAGCCUAACCGCAAGGGGGCGCGGCCGAAGGUGGGUUCGAUAAUUGGGGUGAAGUCGUAACAAGGUAAC